rnacentral:rRNA from 1 species
UGAGUACGAGAUGCUACGGCAUCGAAGCAGUCUAUGUCAUACUUCCAAGAAAAGCUUGCACUGUCAUAAACAAAGAAUGCCUGUACCAUAACCGACACAGGUGGGUAGGUAGAGUAUACUAAGGGGCGCGAGAUAACUCUCUCUAAGGAACUCGGCAAAAUGACUCCGUAACUUCGGGAGAAGGAGUGCCUUAUUUCUAAGGUUGCAAUAACAAGAUCCAAGCAACUGUUUACCAAAAACACAGGUCUCCGCUAAGUCGUAAGACGAUGUAUGGGGGCUGACGCCUGCCCAGUGCCAGAAGGUUAAAGAAGUUGGUUAGCAUUAGCGAAGCUGAUAACUGAAGCCCUGGUGAACGGCGGCCGUAACAAUAACGGUCCUAAGGUAGCGAAAUUCCUUGUCGGGUAAGUUCCGACCCGCACGAAAGGCGUAAUGAUUUGGAUACUGUCUCGGAGAGGGGCUCGGUGAAAUAGACUUGUCUGUGAAGAUGCGGACUACCUGCACCUGGACAGAAAGACCCUAUGAAGCUUUACUGUAACUUGAGAUUGAAAUUGGACUUUAUUUGCGCAGUAUAGGUGGGAGGCGUUGAGAAUAAUCUUGCGGGAUUGUUGGAGCCAUCAGUGAGAUACCACUCUUGUAAUGUUAGAUUUCUAACUUUGUAUCAUUAUCUGGUCAAAGAACAGUUUCAGGCGGGCAGUUUGACUGGGGCGGUCGCCUCCCAAAGGGUAACGGAGGCGCACAAAGGUUUCCUCUGAACGGGUAGAAAUCGUAUCUAGAGUGUAAAGGCAUAAGGAAGCUUGACUGUGAGACCUACAAGUCGAGCAGGGACGAAAGUCGGUCUUAGUGAUCUGACGGUGCUGAGUGGAAAGGCCGUCACUCAACGGAUAAAAGUUACUCUAGGAUAACAGGCUGAUCUCCCCCGAGAGUUCACAUCGACGGGGAGGUUUGGCACCUCGAUGUCGGCUCAUCGCAUCCUGGGGCGGUAGUCCGUCCCAAGGGUUGGGCUGUUCGCCCAUGAAAGCGGUACGCGAGCUGGGUUCAGAACGUCGUGAGACAGUUCGGUCCAUAUCCGGUGUAGGCGUUAGAAUAUUGAGAGGAGCCUUCUCUAGUACGAGAGGACCGAGAAGGACAUACCUCUGGUGUACCAGUUAUCGUGCCAACGGUAAACGCUGGGUAGCUAUGUAUGGAGUGGAUAGCCGCUGAAAGCAUCUAAGUGGGAAGCCCACCUCAAGAUAAGUAUUCUCAUC